CACCUGGCAUUGAUGCAGAAUAUUGAGUUAUCAGCCCAUUACCUGCUCCUGACUGAUCUCAGCCCUCUGCAACUAAAGAAGAGACAGUACAAAUACAGAGUGUUGUGUCUGAAUUUUGAGAAGAAUAGUACUCUACAGGAUAGAGAAUUGUGACAUACUGGUAGAAAGCCCUGAGGGGAGGAAAAAGAAAUGGACAUUUACUCAAGUA